ACGGGAGGCAGCAGUGGGGAAUAUUGCACAAUGGGCGCAAGCCUGAUGCAGCAACGCCGCGUGAGUGAAGAAGGUCUUCGGAUCGUAAAGCUCUGUCCUAAGGGAAGAAGAAGUGACGGUACCUUAGGAGGAAGCCCCGGCUAACUACGUGCCAGCAGCCGCGGUAAUACGUAGGGGGCGAGCGUUAUCCGGAAUUAUUGGGCGUAAAGAGUACGUAGGUGGUUUUGUAAGCGUGAGGUGAAAGCCUGCAGCUUAACUGCAGCGAGCCUCAUGAACUGCAAGACUUGAGUGCAGGAGGGGUAAGUGGAACUCCAUGUGUAGCGGUGAAAUGCGUAGAUAUAUGGAAGAACACCGGUGGCGAAGGCGACUUACUGGACUGUAACUGACACUGAGGUACGAAAGCGUGGGGAGCAAACAGGAUUAGAUACCCUGGUA
rnacentral:rRNA from 1 species